rnacentral:rRNA from 1 species
AACUUUCAGCAACGGAUCUCUUGGCUCUCGCAUCGAUGAAGAACGCAGCGAAAUGCGAUAAGUAAUGUGAAUUGCAGAAUUCAGUGAAUCAUCGAAUCUUUGAACGCACCUUGCGCUCCUUGGUAUUCCGAGGAGCAUGCCUGUUUGAGUGUCAUGGUA